AUUGAACGCUGGCGGCAUGCUUUACACAUGCAAGUCGAACGGGCUGGGGGCAACUCCAGUCAGUGGCGAACGGGUGAGUAAUACAUCGGAACGUACCUCGUAGUGGGGGAUAACUCGGCGAAAGCCGUGCUAAUACCGCAUAUGCUCUACGGAGGAAAGCAGGGGACCGCAAGGCCUUGUGCUAUGGGAGCGGCCGAUGUCCGAUUAGCUAGUUGGUGAGGUAAUGGCCACCAAGGCGACGAUCGGUAGCUGGUCUGAGAGGAUGAUCAGCCACACUGGGACUGAGACACGGCCCAGACUCCUACGGGAGGCAGCAGUGGGGAAUUUUGGACAAUGGGGGCAACCCUGAUCCAGCCAUGCCGC
rnacentral:rRNA from 1 species